rnacentral:misc_RNA from 1 species
AACCCUUUUCUUCUUUUCCAACCUACAUAGCAAGAAAGCCUAAUUUAAAAACUUGGAGCCUUGUGGCCAAUUAGAAGUUAAUGUAUCAAAAAACUUCCAAAAGAAUGCAUCAAAAUCAAUUUCAAAACACAAAAAAUUUGAGCUUCUAAAAUAUUUCAAAACAUAUAAUGAUGUAAACUUUGAGAACAAUUGAGAAGUGCCAGAUGAGACUAAGGGUCCAAAUAAUAAGAAAGCAUUUUAGCCACAAAUAUUAACAAGGACAAAAGAGGACUGAACUUGUUGCUUCAAAAUUUUUAUCACUAGCAACAAAUGAGUUAUUAAGAAGGUACUUAAUGAUCAGUUUAAGCACAUUUAAGGUGAAAGUAUAUGCGCACAAUUUACCCCAUAAGUAUGCUUGUCUAUGCAUGUGCACAAGUUUUUUUCACAAUUCCAAAACAUAAACCAUUAGUCUAAAACCCAUGUUGUUGCAGGAAAGCAAAUCACCAUAGUACUGACAAU